UCGAGGAUCUUCGGCAAUGGGCGCAAGCCUGACCGAGCGACGCCGCGUGUGCGAUGAAGGCCUUCGGGUUGUAAAGCACUGUCGAGGGGGAGGAAAGCCGCAAGGCCUGACCUAUCCCUGGAGGAAGCACGGGCUAAGUUCGUGCCAGCAGCCGCGGUAAGACGAACCGUGCGAACGUUGUUCGGAAUCACUGGGCUUAAAGGGCGCGUAGGCGGCGCACCAAGUCCGGGGUGAAAGCCCCCAGCUCAACUGGGGAAGUGCCUCGGAUACUGGUGCGCUCGAGGGAGGUAGGGGCGGAUGGAACUUCCGGUGGAGCGGUGAAAUGCGUUGAUAUCGGAAGGAACGCCGGUGGCGAAAGCGAUCCGCUGGCCCUCUACUGACGCUGAGGCGCGAAAGCCAGGGGAGCAAACGGGAUUAGAUACCCCCGUAGUCC
rnacentral:rRNA from 1 species